GCUUUCUUUUUUAAAAAAACAAACCCUAACCAGGGUUUUCUUUGUUUUCUCUGCCGCCACUCUCAGUCAAGGCCGUCCCUUGGCCUCCGACGAUGCCCCGGCCUCCGAUUGCGACGGAGAGGGGACACCGUGACAGCCCCAGGUGUGGCGUGGAGCGAAUGGCACGGAGAAGAGGGGUUGCACGCGUAGAGGCGCAACUCGCGCGAAUGGCGGCUACUAUUGCGGAGGGGGCAGUGCGCAGGGCUGCUAUGGCGGCUGAAGCAAAGGUCUAGGGUUUCUGCUUAGUUGGUUAAGCUUUGGACUUGUAUUGGGCUGUGACAUUAGGUUUUAGAUUUUUGGGCCACUGUAUUGGGCCUGCUAGUGUUGGACUGUUUAUUUUUUCUGCUUUGGUUUAUUAUGUGGGCCCGGGCAUAGUUGGGCUUGUACAGUUAGCAUUUUAAAUUUCACCAAAUCAAAAUGCUAGCAAUUAUAAUUGAUUUGUUUGGAUAAAUAA